rnacentral:rRNA from 1 species
CCUACGGGAUGCAGCAGUGGGGAAUAUUGCACAAUGGGCGCAAGCCUGAUGCAGCCAUGCCGCGUGUAUGAAGAAGGCCUUCGGGUUGUAAAGUACUUUCAGCGGGGAGGAAGGCGAUGAGGUUAAUAACCUCGUCGAUUGACGUUACCCGCAGAAGAAGCACCGGCUAACUCCGUGCCAGCAGCCGCGGUAAUACGGAGGGUGCAAGCGUUAAUCGGAAUUACUGGGCGUAAAGCGCACGCAGGCGGUCUGUCAAGUCAGAUGUGAAAUCCCCGGGCUUAACCUGGGAACUGCAUUUGAAACUGGCAGGCUAGAGUCUUGUAGAGGGGGGUAGAAUUCCAGGUGUAGCGGUGAAAUGCGUAGAGAUCUGGAGGAAUACCGGUGGCGAAGGCGGCCCCCUGGACAAAGACUGACGCUCAGGUGCGAAAGCGUGGGGAGCAAACAGGAUUAGAUACCCGAGUAGUC